GACAGAGGCCCCAAGCGUUAGGCGGAAUCACUGGGCUUAAAGCGUGUGUAGGCGGACGCCUAAGUGUCUUGUGAAAUCCCACGGCUCACCCGUGGAACUGCUGGGCAUACUGGGCGUCUUGGGCCAACUAGGGGCAGCCGGAACAAGCGGUGGAGCGGUGAAAUGCGUAGAUAUCGCUUGGAACGCCGAAGGUGAAAACAGGCUGCUGGGGUUGUGCCGGCGCUGAGACACGAAAGCCAGGGGAGCAAACGGG
rnacentral:rRNA from 1 species